rnacentral:rRNA from 1 species
UAGGGAAUCUUCCGCAAUGGACGCAAGUCUGACGGAGCAACGCCGCGUGAGUGAAGAAGGAUUUCGGUUCGUAAAACUCUGUUGUUAGAGAAGAACAGCGCAUAGAGUAACUGUUAUGCGUGUGACGGUAUCUAACCAGAAAGCCACGGCUAACUACGUGCCAGCAGCCGCGGUAAUACGUAGGUGGCAAGCGUUGUCCGGAUUUAUUGGGCGUAAAGCGAGCGCAGGCGGUCAAUUAAGUCUGAUGUGAAAGCCCCCGGCUCAACCGGGGAGGGUCAUUGGAAACUGGUUGACUUGAGUGCGGAAGAGGAGAGUGGAAUUCCAUGUGUAGCGGUGAACUGCGUAGAUAUAUGGAGGAACACCAGUAGCGAAGGCGACUCUCUGGUCUGUAACUGACGAUGAGGCUCGAAAGCGUGGGUAGCAAACAGG